GUGGGGAAUAUUGCGCAAUGGGGGAAACCCUGACGCAGCGACGCCGCGUGAGCGAAGAAGGCCUUAGGGUUGUAAAGCUCUGUUUUAAGGGACGAAUGUCGUGGGGAGUAAUAUGCUCUGCGAAUGACGGUACCUUAAGAGGAAGCCCCGGCUAACUACGUGCCAGCAGCCGCGGUAAGACGUAGGGGGCGAGCGUUGUCCGGAAUUACUGGGCGUAAAGAGCACGUAGGCGGGAACUUAAGUCAGGUGUGAAAGACCGGGGCUCAACUCCGGGGUUGCACUUGAAACUGGGUUUCUGGAGGGCAGGAGAGGAAAGCAGAAUUCCUGGUGUAGCGGUGAAAUGCGUAGAAAUCAGGAGGAAUACCAGUGGCGAAGGCGGCUUUCUGGACUGACCCUGACGCUCAUGCACGAAAGCGUGGGGAGCAAACAGGAUUAGAAACCCGGGUAGUCC
rnacentral:rRNA from 1 species